AACGCGAAGAACCUUACCAGGGCUUGACAUGCCACUGACCGCAUCAGAGAUGGUGCUUUACCUUCGGGUACAGUGGACACAGGUGGUGCAUGGUUGUCGUCAGCUCGUGUCGUGAGAUGUUGGGUUAAGUCCCGCAACGAGCGCAACCCCUGUUUCUAGUUGCCAGCAUUAAGUUGGGCACUCUAGAGAGACUGCCGAUGACAAAUCGGAGGAAGGUGGGGAUGACGUCAAAUCAUCAUGCCCUUUAUGCCCUGGGCUACACACGUGCUACAAUGGUCGGUACAACGAGGAGCAACCCAGCGAUGGCAAGCAAAUCUCUAAAAGCCGAUCCCAGUUCGGAUUGCAGGCUGCAACUCGCCUGCAUGAAGUCGGAGUUGCUAGUAAUCGCGGAUCAGAAUGUCGCGGUGAAUGCGUUCCCGGGUCUUGUACACACCG
rnacentral:rRNA from 1 species